GACAGAGGUGCCAAGCGUUAGGCGGAAUCACUGGGCUUAAAGCGUGUGUAGGCGGACCUGUAAGUGCCUUGUGAAAUCCCAUGGCUCAACCAUGGAACGGCUGGGCAUACUGCGGGUCUUGAGCUGUCUAGGGGCAACCGGAACAAACGGUGGAGCGGUGAAAUGCGUAGAUAUCGUUUGGAACGCCAAUGGUGAAAAACAGGUUGCUGGGGACAUGCUGACGCUGAGACACGAAAGCCAGGGGAGCGAACGGG
rnacentral:rRNA from 1 species